AUGAAUGUCUGUCUGCUGUUAAAACACAUCUCAAAACUUCACGCUUCGGCACAUCCCACUGACUCAAACUAUCUUCUCAACAAAUAUGGUUGGACUUCUUCCCAUGACCUGGGAUGCCAGGACAACUACACAACACCCAUCUGGCGAGACAUCCUCAAUGGUCUCACCUUCUUUAGAUUGAUUACUAAGGUUACCCUUGGUAAUGGAGUCACGACCUCCUUCUGGUUUGACCUCUGGUUAGCUGGGACCGACACCAUUCUAGCUCAACAAUUCCCUGCCCUUUUUCCCCACUCUUUGAAGCAGUCUCUUUCAGUUGCUCUGGCGCUCGACACCCCUGAUCUGAACCUCUUCCUAGCCCCUAGACUCUCCCAUGCAGCCGAUCUUGAGCUUACAGCUUUGCGCAUUAUUUUAGCCCCCGUUAACCUGAAUGAGCAGGUUGCAGAUGUGAGAAUUAGUAGGAAAGAUGGCAAACCACUCACCACCAAGGCGGCGUACAAGGAGACUUGGGCAUCCACUCCGAUCGGCCCCAUUGCACCUGCAAUCUGGAAGAACUACGCCCCGAACAAAUGCAGAUUAUUCAUCUGGCUGGCGCACAAGGACCGCGUAUACACAAAUGAACGUCGCUUCCGAAGAUCGAUUGCAACUUCUGACGCCUGCCCAUUAUGCGGGCACUGUGAGAGCAUUGACCAUCUUCUGUUCAAUUGCCCCUUGCUGCGUCUGCUGUGGGAUCAACUUGGCAGCCUCCAAGAUGUGAGGCCUUGCAGCCUCCUCCACAUCUGGCAAGCUUCAAUUCAUGACAAAGUUCGUUCCACUGUGAUCUUGGCGUUGCUCUGGAACAUUUGGAAAAGACGCAAUGCCAAAGUGUUCCGUAAUGACACUCAGGGCCUCCACUGCAUCGCCAGGGCGGCAGCUGACGACCUGAUUCUCUGGUCCAACAGAUGUACAAACGUUCAGAAACAAAAUCUGAUACGUGACUGGGCCACUAUGUUGUUUCAUCUUGCCGCGAGAUUGUAG
rnacentral:rRNA from 1 species